UGCGCUGACUUUCAGGUCUGAGCUUUUGCUUUAUAAGCACAAGACUCACUCUCACCACACAUUUGGACAGAGAUAUAAUCUUUGGCUUCAAACUCUCAAAUCUUACAAGGUUUAGUUUCAGACAUAUGUUACAGAAAAUUCAAGACUUCUAGUCAGCUAAUGAUGGACCUGAAACUGUGGCUCUCAAUUCUGAUGGUUUGUGGGAUGGCUGAAUCUCUAAUCUCGGGCAAGGACUGGCUCAUUAAUGUGCCAUCAAGAAUCCCUGUUCUUCAAAGUUCAUGUGUGGUCGUUCCCUGUAUAUACAAGUAUCCCAAGACAAAAAAAGUAUUGAACAGAUGGCGGGGAUUCUGGAAGAGAGGGG